rnacentral:rRNA from 1 species
CAAGUCGAGGGGCAGCAGGACUGUAGCAAUACAGUUGCUGGCGACCGGCAAACGGGUGCGGAACACGUACGCAACUUACCCAAAACUGGGGAAUAGCCCGGGGAAACCCGGAUUAAUACCUCGUAAGAUAAUGGAGUGGCAUCACUUUAUUAUUAUAGCUCCGGCGGUUUUGGAUGGGCGUGCGCCUGAUUAGGUAGUUGGCGGGGUAACGGCCCACCAAGCCUACGAUCAGUAACUGGUGUGAGAGCACGACCAGUCACACGGGCACUGAGACACGGGCCCGACUCCUACGGGAGGCAGCAGUAAGGAAUAUUGGUCAAUGGACGCAAGUCUGAACCAGCCAUGCCGCGUGAAGGAUGAAGGUCCUCUGGAUUGUAAACUUCUUUUAUAUGGGAAGAAAUCCACUUUUUCUUGAGUGGUUGACGGUACCAUAGGAAUAAGCACCGGCUAACUCCGUGCCAGCAGCCGCGGUAAUACGGAGGGUGCAAGCGUUAUCCGGAUUCACUGGGUUUAAAGGGUGCGUAGGAGGGCAGGUAAGUCAGUGGUGAAAUCUCCAAGCUUAACUUGGAAACUGCCGUUGAUACUAUCUGUCUUGAAUACCGUGGAGGUGAGCGGAAUAUGUCAUGUAGCGGUGAAAUGCUUAGAUAUGACAUAGAACACCAAUUGCGAAGGCAGCUCGCUACACGAAUAUUGACUCUGAGGCACGAAAGCGUGGGGAUCAAACAGGAUUAGAUACCCUGGUAGUCCACGCCCUAAACGAUGGAUACUCGACAUACGCGAUACACAGUGUGUGUCUGAGCGAAAGCAUUAAGUAUCCCACCUGGGAAGUACGACCGCAAGGUUGAAACUCAAA